UGAUGAUGGUAUUUGCUCCACACAGCCGCACUUCCAUCACUAUCAUCAUCGUAACAUCACAGUUCGAGUUGAGUAAGUCCAAGUUGGAUGGAAUUCAAGUAUUUCAGUUGAAACGGAACUUUCGCAAAGAACGGUCAUGGUCUUGAAAUAUUAUUGCCAAAGCUAAAAACUCAAGCAAAGCAACCAAAUACAAAAAAAAAAAGAGUUAUAAACGGUUCCCACAGUCUGCUGGCGAGGCGAUGAGCGAUGAUGAUGAUGGUGAUGGCGGGGCAUAUAGAUACAAAGCUUUGUGCUCUCGCUCUCUCGCAAUUUCUCACUCUCUCUCUCUCUCUCUCAUAAUCAUCGUCAUUCGUGAAUUGUGAAUAGAAGAAGCCUGCUUGGACUUCGUGCCACAAUAUGAGGCUCAUUCUCCAACCGACAACGGCCACGGGAGGAUAGUUCCAACUUCGCACUUUAAAGUAUCUAUCUCACCGAAAAAAAAGUAUCUUUUGCUAAAAAAUUUCUAAUCAGUGUUGUCGGUCGCGGUGUCAUUCGGUUGCUUAGUUGCGUACACCGACCUUCGUUCAAUAGCCGUAAAGCGGAGUGGAGCGUGUGUUCUCGACAUCUGGAGCUUUCAGUUUUCAUCAUUUAACAAAACCAACAACAACUGCCGCCGCAAAAAAAUGUCAAAUGGAGAGAAAGCUUUCUGAUAGUCGUCAUGUCUGUGUUGUAGCUUUGUUUCUGCUGGCACUGGCACUAGCAGUGGCAGCGGCAAAAGGCAGCAUAGCCAACUAACUUUUAGUCGUUUGGAAUGUAUCUGGAGCCAAAGACUUUAUUCCUACUCCAUCCGGUGUGGCAGAGUCAAUAAAGUGUGUGGUUUAUUUUCUUUUCUCAUAAAUUGCUGGCGCUUUCCUGCAGUCGUACUCAUUCUUUUUUCUUCUGAGUCUUGUGUUGAGGAUUUCGUUUUACCUUUUUUUUUUGGGAAGAAAAAGGAGAGGGAUUUUUGUGUGUGAAUUAAUAUCAAUUCGUUCGGCUCAGUCGUUAACUGUCACGAUUUGUGUUAACAACAUUAUCAUACUCACCUAUCAGUUAAAUUUAAGUGUGAAAUUGUGAACACGUAUCUAUGACACUUUAUCGGCAAACAGAUACGAACUCAAUCUCUCGUCGCGAACUUUGCACCAUGACUUUGUGAAAGAUUCCAACUUAACACUUAUAGCCUUCCCAAUAGUGAAAUAAUGUUUUUUUUUUUAUUUUGUUCCAAGUUAAUAGCAAUAAAGUGUGAACAAAAAUACAACAAGAAAAAAAAAAUGACGUAGUAAAAUAAAUUUUUAUUCGUCUUUAUAAACUGCGCAGUUAAAAAAUAGAAACAAUUAAUUUACUUAGCUCCAAAGGUGAGGAGAAAAGUGUUCCAAAGUGCAAAAAAAAGCAUCUCCUAAUAAAAAAAAAAAAGACACCCAGCAACAAUUCACAAAACAUAAAAUAAAGAUAACAUUUCUUCUUAUUCACAAGAACAAUUUAUAAAAAACAAAAUAAACAACAAACAAAAAAUUAAUUUCAAACAAAAAAAUAAAAGAUAACACCCAUCAACCACCAACCCCCUGUAAUCUAAGCUAUGAUACAACACCAUCACAAUUAUAUUUGAGUCUAGCCAUCAAAAAUAAGGCUGUCUUCAUUGUAUAUCCGUAUCCGUCGUCUCUCCAAUAUACUCUCAUUCACAUAGUCAAAAUCAAGUGCCAAACAUAAAAAGAGGGAAACUCCCUUACUUUAUCUGCCGACAGAUAAAAGAUAAAAGCAACAAAAAAAAAAAGAACCUAAUUGAAGUUGGAUUUCCCAAAAAAAAAAUAUCUACAAUGAAAAAAAAAAUAAACUUUCAAACAAGAUAGUCUCGAAAAUCCGUAUUUCGUCUACAACAAAACUGUGGCCUUCUUAUCUCCCGGUUUUGAAUAUAUAAAAAAAUAGCUCUCAAAAACACAUCACAAAAGCCCCAAGGGACGGAAGGAAGUGAAAUAAAAAAAAAAUGGUGGAAUUCGAAUUAAUUUAUGUAAUGCAUAGCCCUACACACUUAACAAAGUUAACAAGUUUCACACAGAACAACAACAAAAGCACGAAAAAAACAUGAAGGCAGAAAAAAUGAGAAGAAAACAGGACCUUCUUUUAAGAGUUAAAGAGGAAAAUCACCAUUUUUCUUCCAACCCAUCAGUUAAGAACCAGAAAAGGAACGACGACGAAGAUGAUGAUGAUGAUAAUGCUGGCAAAGAUGAUUUCACUCUCUGAAAAGGUACGUAGUACAUCAAGAAUUGCAAUCCCAUCAUUAUUCAAUUAAUUUCCUUACAAAACAUUAGCUCACAUAAUUGAAUAAUUGAGAGGAUACAAAUUACUCAGUGGCCUAAUGCUAUACUCUCUGUGUAUAGUAUAUAUCCUUCCGGGAUCCUUUCUGUACCAUACAAAUGUAUAUUUAUCACCAUUUGUGCAAUUAAAUGCUACUUCUACAAUUCGGAUUCGGUUAGUGUGGAGAGAUAUAGAUGUACAUUUAUCUUUGGGUGGUAAUGGGGAUACCAAUAUGGCGAUAUGGGUAACUCUCGAGCUGUUGUUUUGGUUUUGGAGUUUCUAUAUAAAUGAAUGAGUCUGUGACGCGUGAUGCGGGGAGUGUCUGGAACGAUAUAGAGACCCAUAAGGACCUCACUCCUUACGCUUAUUUGGAUGGCUCGGACUCCCUUGAAUUAUGCAUUUGUAAGUUUAUUAUAGGCCAACUGUUUCGACAGAGCUUUAUCGUUCAGAGGGAAAUUUAUAUAAAUAUAUAGAUAGGAGUAGAAUAGGUGGAUACAGAUUGCCUAGGUGUUCAAUUAAAUUAUCGCCCGGACAUGCUCUUCGAGAAUUCCCAAUAAAUUUAUGCGGUCAACCGAUGUUCUGAUAUGGGAGUGAAAUGUACAACCUCCAGUAUAGUAGCUGGCUUGGCCAGUUGAGCAUGGUGAGCAUGCAAUUGCAACCACAAACACAUACACCGAGAAUACAUGCGCUAUAGUUAUGCAUAGAGUGUUGUAGAGUUGUAUAUAGAUCUCGAUGAAGCGCAGUCCAUUGGAAAACUCAAUUUUCUCUCAUCGUUCGGCAGCUUCCUUUUUCAUCGACUUCAAUGGAGUCCUUCACUAUACACUCAUAUAGACAUAUAUCCUCUUUAACCAUAUAGUACAAAAUAUAUUUAAUUGAAAAUAAUUUCAACUUUGUUCAAACAGCAAACGAUGGAAAGUUUUUAAUCGUUUUUGACGAGUUUUCUGCUCCUGUAUAUACAUUGGUAGAAAAAAAAGGAUGUGUGGCAGGGAAGUUUGGUUUUGCCGGCUCCGUCUCAUCAGAGCUAACAUCAGCAUCAGCUAUAGCAAUAAAAAGCAAAAGAAGAAAAAAAAAACUUUUUAAGUAUAGAGAGACAAAGUAGAAAAAAAAAUACAAAACCAAGGAAGCAAAAUAAAACAAACAAAGUCUCUCUAAUAGGAUAAUCGAUACAAAAGUUAGAGUCCAAUUAAAAUGGAAUCGUUCUUCGUUGGUUCGCCUACGAUCUUCCUUCAAUCAUAUACUCUAUACACACGGGUGGGUGUUUGGGGAAAUGAUGGUGGGAGAAAGAAAGUUUUUGUAGCUUGUUAUCAAAUAUUGAAAUAAAAGUAACGCCAAAGUUUUGUUUUUGUUGUUGUUUUUGUUUCAAUAAAAGAUAUAGACGAUUCAUGUGAUGAUGAGUUAAGUCAAUAUUAAGUGAUACAACAUCAAGGUUCAAGGACCAUGUUGUUUGAUUGGUAUUUUGGUAAACUUGAACUGAUGUACUUUCAUAAGUCAUAAGUCAUAGAUAUGCCAGAUAUAUUGAUUUAGACCAAAUAUAAAAGUAACACUAUAGCUCAUUAUUAUUGUAUGAUAGGAGUAUUCAUCAAGAUGGACAAAAUAUCAAUUGCUGAUACAAUUUUACAUU